AGAGUUUGAUCAUGGCUCAGAUUGAACGCUGGCGGCAGGCCUAACACAUGCAAGUCGAACGGUAACAGGAAGCAGCUUGCUGCUUCGCUGACGAGUGGCGGACGGGUGAGUAAUGUCUGGGAAACUGCCUGAUGGAGGGGGAUAACUACUGGAAACGGUGGCUAAUACCGCAUAACGUCGCAAGACCAAAGAGGGGGACCUUCGGGCCUCUUGCCAUCAGAUGUGCCCAGAUGGGAUUAGCUAGUUGGUGAGGUAACGGCUCACCAAGGCGACGAUCCCUAGCUGGUCUGAGAGGAUGACCAGCCACACUGGAACUGAGACACGGUCCAGACUCCUACGGGAGGCAGCAGUGGGGAAUAUUGCACAAUGGGCGCAAGCCUGAUGCAGCCAUGCCGCGUGUAUGAAGAAGGCCUUCGGGUUGUAAAGUACUUUCAGCGGGGAGGAAGGUGUUGUGGUUAAUAACCGCAGCAAUUGACGUUACCCGCAGAAGAAGCACCGGCUAACUCCGUGCCAGCAGCCGCGGUAAUACGGAGGGUGCAAGCGUUAAUCGGAAUUACUGGGCGUAAAGCGCACGCAGGCGGUCUGUCAAGUCGGAUGUGAAAUCCCCGGGCUCAACCUGGGAACUGCAUUCGAAACUGGCAGGCUUGAGUCUUGUAGAGGGGGGUAGAAUUCCAGGUGUAGCGGUGAAAUGCGUAGAGAUCUGGAGGAAUACCGGUGGCGAAGGCGGCCCCCUGGACAAAGACUGACGCUCAGGUGCGAAAGCGUGGGGAGCAAACAGGAUUAGAUACCCUGGUAGUCCACGCCGUAAACGAUGUCUACUUGGAGGUUGUGCCCUUGAGGCGUGGCUUCCGGAGCUAACGCGUUAAGUAGACCGCCUGGGGAGUACGGCCGCAAGGUUAAAACUCAAAUGAAUUGACGGGGGCCCGCACAAGCGGUGGAGCAUGUGGUUUAAUUCGAUGCAACGCGAAGAACCUUACCUGGUCUUGACAUCCACAGAACUUUCCAGAGAUGGAUUGGUGCCUUCGGGAACUGUGAGACAGGUGCUGCAUGGCUGUCGUCAGCUCGUGUUGUGAAAUGUUGGGUUAAGUCCCGCAACGAGCGCAACCCUUAUCCUUUGUUGCCAGCGGUUAGGCCGGGAACUCAAAGGAAACUGCCAGUGAUAAACUGGAGGAAGGUGGGGAUGACGUCAAGUCAUCAUGGCCCUUACGACCAGGGCUACACACGUGCUACAAUGGCGCAUACAAAGAGAAGCGACCUCGCGAGAGCAAGCGGACCUCAUAAAGUGCGUCGUAGUCCGGAUUGGAGUCUGCAACUCGACUCCAUGAAGUCGGAAUCGCUAGUAAUCGUGGAUCAGAAUGCCACGGUGAAUACGUUCCCGGGCCUUGUACACACCGCCCGUCACACCAUGGGAGUGGGUUGCAAAAGAAGUAGGUAGCUUAACCUUCGGGAGGGCGCUUACCACUUUGUGAUUCAUGACUGGGGUGAAGUCGUAACAAGGUAACCGUAGGGGAACCUGCGGUUG
rnacentral:rRNA from 2 species